RGUUAUAUGGCCGAGCAGGUAAUGGACUGUAAAUCCAUGUACAGGAGUAUAUCCUUAUUGCCAAG
rnacentral:tRNA from 1 species